rnacentral:lncRNA from 1 species
CUCGCCGCUCACACGCCCCCUGCGCGCCGGGCCCGUACACCGCCACCGGCACUCGGCGAGCCAGCCGGCCUUCGCCCGGCCGCUGGGCCGCCGCCUGGGCACCGCGCCGCGCCCGCCCUCCACCCGGCCGGCUCCUGUCCUCCCCGCCACAUCCUGACCCGCCUGCUGCCCCCUUUCUUACCGGCAGGCUUGGCGGGGCGGAGGGAGCCGACUCCAGUCGACGGCCUCCCCCGCGCCCAGGCCUGGGAUCUCCGCCGCCGAGGUCCUAGAGCUCCGGCGUCUCCGGCACCAACGGCGAGGGCAGCAAGAGCUAGAAGUAACGAGUCGUCGCCGCCGCCGCCGCCGCCGCGCGCGCUCCCGCUCCCGCCGCUUAUCUGCCCCCGGCAGCCGCCAUGACGCCGAGAGAGCGAGCGAGCGCAACCGUCUCCGUCGUAGCCGCCGCCGCCACCGAGGUCGCCGUCGCCUCCGCCUCCCGCGCGACGUAAGCGCCUCUGCUCACUCCCCUUCUCUACAGAGCGCGAGGCGGGCAGGCGAGCGGGCGAGUGCGCGCACGCCGAACCCUUUCGGCUCGCGCGCGGGCGGCGGGAGGGACUACGUUUAAGAGUCGUGGGCGUAGGAAAAAAGCGAUUGGUACUGGGGCGGGGCGGAGGGCGAGUGCGCGCACGCGCACGAAUGGGAGUGCGCACGCUGGAUGCGCGGAGGCCGCCGGACUCUGACUACGCGGAGGCCGUCCCGACUCUGGUCGCGGCCUUAGUCCGCUGAUCCUCGCUUGGGUGCCCGCCCUUAGCGGCGCGGCGUUGAAUUCCGGGAAAUGGGAGCUUCAGACUCGCUCCGUGCGGCUUUAGUGGAUUUCAGCCAGUUGCAACUGAAAGAGCCCUGCCUCAGUUUGACUGUGAAUGGGGUUGCAAAUAACAAACCUCAGAGAAACUGGAACUGGCUGAUUCAAGAUAAGAUGGGGGGUAAUGUGGACUUUCCACCAUUAAGAUGGAAAUUUAGUUUGUGUUAUGCAGCAGUGAAUCUUUUAUCCAGACAUUCUCCAACAGUGUUUUAGAACUCAGUCAUUGAGCGUUGCAUUAGAGAAUUUGGUAGCCAAAUAUAUUUAAAUGUCAAGUAUAUUGGUUACUAUAUGUGAGUUUUGAAAAGUACAUUGGAAAAGAGAGGCAUUCUAAACAAGUUUUCCAGAAAAAAAGCAGAUUGGAGCAAAUUCUGCAAAUUUGACAAUCAUUGAAAGCCGUUUCUGCCUGUAGCCUAUGGUCUAAGAAUGUAAGACCAGAUCAGAUUAUUUGAGAGGCAUGUUUAAUUGCAGUUUUUUUUUUUUUUUUUUUUUUUUGCCACAUUUUUUCUAAUACUAGAGUUUUUACACUGAAUACCAGAAAGUGAAAUCUUAGUAUUAGGAAUAAGACUUGUUAAGGAGAUGCAAGUGAUAAUAAAAGAACUCUAAUUUCUCAGCUCCCGCCCAAAAUAUUUUCUACUGCCUACCCCCUUUCAUGCCUCACAGAAAUAUGAUGAUACUUCACACCAUCUAUCAAUAGCAACUAGGAUCGGAAUGCACUGUGUGUGUAGGGAUAUGACUAAAGGGCAAGCUGGCAUGCCUACUUAUUCUCUUAUUUGCUUGUGAGGCUAAAACAGAACAAUGUCGAUGGACAGAGUCCCAGCUGUUGCUAAGAAACAGAAGUUUAGAAGAAUUGACAACUUAAGGAGAAAGCUGACCCGCUAAGGUCUUCAGCAUUAACUAAAUACAAAAGGAAUCUCCCUAAAAGAAAAUUGUCAGGCAAUCCUUCACAGUAGAGCAGUUGCAUGCCAUAAAACCCCAAUGUGUGCAGUAGACCCAGACCACAGACUAUCUCAACUUCUUGGGCACCUUUCAGUCUCCAAUUCAAAGGAAUGUGCACCUGCCAUAAGUGAGUACCCUUACCCCAAAUGAGGAACCUCAGUGUCUCUCACGUGGGAGUGUACCUGAAGGACUCUAUAAAAGGGAAUCUAAACUAGGUGUAGCCAGAUUUUCUAAUAACUGGUUAGGAAGUGGGUUAAUUAAUUUGUGCCUUGUAAGAUUACAAGGGCCCAUUAUGUCCUAUCAUACUCCUGCUGGAUACAGUAUAUACUCUAUUUGAGCUAGUUAAAUUUGUAUCGAG